AACGGAGAGAUGAGGAGAUCGGUUGAGGCUGGGGACCCUGAGGCUUUGGUCCUGGUGACGUGGGGCUAAACUCUUCCUGCAAGGACUCGGUAGAAAUGCAAAUACAGUUGAUAUGGUGCUGCAUGCCACAGCUUAAGAAGGCAAUAAUAUGCCAAUUGGAAAAGGACUCAUUUUGCCUGGAGGCAUCACCACUGCUUAGUCGGCUGUGACAAAUGAAAACUGUUUUUUUUUUGGUGUAUUUUACAUGUCUGGUAUUUUCUCAUUUGCCAGGCAAGCAGACCGAGCUAACAUGAUCCAUCAGUAUAUCUAAGCAGGAAAAUGGCCAUUUCCUUAAUGGCUUCAACUUGGUUGCUUCAUAAACCACUUGUACAGAAAGAACAACCACAUAGUGACAAAAUGUUUUUUUUGCUUUAAGAAUGCGGACUGCAUGAGAGUCUGUUUACAUGUGGGCAAUGGCUGAGAAACAUUUUGUAGAUGGCGUGGGCUUAGGAGAAAGGAUAUAAAGAAAGUAAGAUGUGUAUACAUAGAGGUGAUAUGUAAUAUUAUUUGAUAAGCACAAAUGCACACACAUACAGAAGGCUCCAACUGAGUCAGAGAGAUGCCCCAGAGAAGGAAGGGUAGCCAGUCAUGAAAUUACUAAACAAAUAGAGGCUUACAGGCUUCCCAGCUCAAACAUUUUAAGUGGGUGUUGAGACCUACAGAUAAAGCCUGGUGUAUCUCUCAUGGAUAUAAGAGAAGAGCCUGAUGAUGCCUAUGAUUAUAAUCCUAAUGGUAGUGAUGCUGAUAUUAGUGAUAUGUGAUGUAAUUGCUAUUGCUGUAUAAUUGCUAUAUAUAUUAACCUACAUCAAAAUGGCAAUCAUUAUACUUAAAAUAUUGGUUGGAUUUUUGGUUGGAUAUUUCAUACUUUUUCACACUUUUUUGCAGCAUUAGCCAUUCAUUGUAUCCAUGCUCUGUAAUUGCUUUGGUCAUUUUCUUUUGUUCGUGGCUCAUAUACCUUUGAUCCCUCUGAAUAUAACAUGCAUACCUGAUAGUGGUAUUGGAUGUGAUUAUUUGGAUGCAAUAAACUUUUGAUUUUCUCUUGCGCAUUACUUGUGAGGAGGUUGAAAAACUAGCAUUGGGUAGCAACGCAACAUAUUUUAUGAUGUUUGACUUAAGAG